UUCGAUUAACUUUAGAGUAUUAAAUAACAGCUAGAAAAUCCAAUCGAAAAGUUUAUUAUGGAGGAAAGGAAUCAUACGUAGAUAUCAUUGACGACAGAUUCUCUACGUACCGGUAAAUAUCAGGAUAAACGAGGCAUUUCUGAAACCAAUUUUUCAUGUGGAACAUGAUAUAAAGGAGUUUGAAUCUGGAUUCCAUUGGAUACGAUAAUCCAAUCCGAAGAAUUUGAUGUUUCAACUAUUAUAAAAGGAAGGAUCA